UGGGGAAUAUUGCACAAUGGGCGAAAGCCUGAUGCAGCAACGCCGCGUGAGGGACGACGGCCUUCGGGUUGUAAACCUCUUUAGCAAGGAAGAAGCGAAAGUGACGGUACUUGCAGAAAAAGCGCCGGCUAACUACGUGCCAGCAGCCGCGGUAAUACGUAGGGCGCAAGCGUUAUCCGGAAUUAUUGGGCGUAAAGAGCUCGUAGGCGGUUUGUCGCGUCUGCUGUGAAAACCCGAGGCUCAACCUCGGGCCUGCAGUGGGUACGGGCAGACUAGAGUGCGGUAGGGGAGAUUGGAACUCCUGGUGUAGCGGUGGAAUGCGCAGAUAUCAGGAAGAACACCGAUGGCGAAGGCAGAUCUCUGGGCCGUAACUGACGCUGAGGAGCGAAAGGGUGGGGAGCAAAACAGGCUUAGAUACCCUGGUAGUCCACCCCGUAAACGUUGGGAACUAGUUGUGGGGUCCAUUCCACGGAUUCCGUGACGCAGCUAACGCAUUAAGUUCCCCGCCUGGGGAGUACGGCCGCAA
rnacentral:rRNA from 1 species